UGCCUGGCGGCUCUAGCGCGGUGGUCCCACCUGACCCCAUGCCGAACUCAGAAGUGAAACGCCGUAGCGCCGAUGGUAGUGUGGGGUCUCCCCAUGUGAGAGUAGGGAACUGCCAGGCAU
rnacentral:rRNA from 1 species